rnacentral:lncRNA from 10 species
GCAGCACGAAGGUCAGCCAGCUGUGAUAGGUGAUGCUCCAGGCCUCCGGAGGACAGAAAAGGAAACACGACCAUGGUCAAUACAAUGCUCAGUCCCCCCCGCCCUGGUCCACAAAAUUGCACCCAGCACACGUCAGUGGAGUGGAAACAUCAUCAGUGCAAUAAAAACUCCCAUUUGGAGAAAGGAGGUGCGGGAAACACAACACAGAUACAACCUAGAAGUUUUCCAGGUUGCUGGAACCAGGAAAUAUGAGUCAAGUAUCACCCCCACCCACCACCACCUUUUUCAUCAAAGAUUCUACCCACAGCACCAUCCUGCGCCCUCCCUGUCUCUCACCAUUUACAACAUAGACCUCAGGUGGUAUUAGGCAGCCAACAGACAACUCACCAGGCUUACAAAGACAGUUUUUGAAAGAACUGCUCUAGAACUGCCAGAUGGUAUUGCAUCAACCACCUCAAGAAAAGGGCAUGAACCAUUGGCAUCGUCUUUCAAUCAUUUCAACUACAGAUUUUGCAGCAGUUACAGAUGAAGGCAACUACAACCUUGGACAAGAUCACAGCCACAUAUUCCUCUCUUCUCUCUACCUGUCCUACUCCAAUCCUGCUUCAACUUAGAGAACUAGCUCAUGUUAAGGGGCUUCUUGAUGUGUAGCUGUUGAAUAAAGCCUUUAACUUCUAUUUUACUAUUGUU